GUGCUCUCUUUGACAGCACAUAUACUAAAAUUGGAAUGCUAAAGAGAAGAUUAGCAUGGCCCCUGCACAAGGAUGACACACAAAUUUGUAAAUUAUUCCAUAUACUU